rnacentral:rRNA from 1 species
GAUGAACGCUGGCGGCGUGCCUAAUACAUGCAAGUCGAGCGAACGGACGAGAAGCUUGCUUCUCUGAUGUUAGCGGCGGACGGGUGAGUAACACGUGGAUAACCUACCUAUAAGACUGGGAUAACUUCGGGAAACCGGAGCUAAUACCGGAUAAUAUUUUGAACCGCAUGGUUCAAAAGUGAAAGACGGUCUUGCUGUCACUUAUAGAUGGAUCCGCGCUGCAUUAGCUAGUUGGUAAGGUAACGGCUUACCAAGGCAACGAUGCAUAGCCGACCUGAGAGGGUGAUCGGCCACACUGGAACUGAGACACGGUCCAGACUCCUACGGGAGGCAGCAGUAGGGAAUCUUCCGCAAAGGGCGAAAGCCUGACGGAGCAACGCCGCGUGAGUGGUGAAGGUCUUCGGAUCGUAAAACUCUGUUAUUAGAGAAGAACAUAUGUGUAAGUAACUGUGCACAUCUUGACGGUACCUAAUCAGAAAGCCACGGCUAACUACGUG